CCCGCUCUCCUUUCUUUCUCCACCUCUUUCUCCGUCUCCUGCCUCUCGUAUAUUCUCUCACACAGUCGGUUGUACCUGAAUUUAGGAAUUCCUUCUUUUCCCCUCCAUCUAAAAAUCCAGCCGCCUUGCGAGGCUGCUCCGGUGAAGGAUUUCUGUGUCUCAGAGAGUGCAUGAAAAAAGAGUCCCAGCUCCGGUGCUGAGCUCAUUAGCCCAACGAAAGCCUUUGCACUCGGCAAUUAAACGCUGCCUGGGAUUCCUCAGCCGGAGACCGAAGGAGGAGUCUCUGCUUCCCCCUGGAACUCUCCUGGAGAAAUGCCUCAUCAUCCCAACCGGCCUCCAGCCCGCAGAGGACGCCAUCACGGAUCCCACACCUCUUCCAUCUUUGGCCUUGUAUUAGAUAUAAUUGUGUAUUACUGCUCCGUGUCCUUGCUUUUGGGUCCAGCGACAUGAUAGUCAGCUUAAAAAGCCCUGAAAUCCAAAUGGCAAUGUCAAAAAGCACUCAUGGAAAGGAUAAUGACAGGCAAAGUGGGUGGCGAGCAGCCCAGCUGCUGGGAUGUCUUGCAGAGAGCUGUUGCCGUGGCUGACAGUAAAGUAAUGGGAAAUAAAUAAUUAAUUUAGCCCUGUUGAUAGGAUUUAAGUCACCAAGGAUUUCCUACAGGGAAAACAAGAUCAUGUUUGUAAUGAAGCUUCAGAUGAAUAUGCGGCAAUUCUAAAACCAGAUCCAUGUGAGCUGAAGAGGAGACAACGUCGAGACAGAAGCAGUGCAAAUAUCCAUAAGUCAAGCGAUGAGGUACAACGACUUUCCAAAUGCAAGAUUCAAAAUACACAAAUUUCUUGAGGUUGAGCAGCAAUGGAGGUAAUUCUGGAGAGUUUUGAUAAAUCUAUGAAUUUAGAUUUGAGAACAUUUACUGUACAUAAAUGUAAACACUGAAUUGUUUAGUUUUUUUUAGGACAGUUAGCCACAUUAGCAGCUCGAUGAGACUUUACACAGCUGUGCUUUCAGCUAAAUGGUAACAGGCUCACAAUUAUCACCAUGACAAAAAACAAAACAAUUGGACAAAUUACAAUCUUUACCAGAAAAUGGUGCCACUUGUGAAAUUAUUACAAUUCACCGUAAGGGGGAACAUACAUGUGUGUGUCAAACGUCAUGCCAAUCCAUCAGAUAGUUGUUGAGAUAUUUUACUCUGUACCAAAAGACCAGCUUGUGAGUCAAGAUGUUGUUUGACAGAUACAAGUCCCACUAAAGGAUGCCAAAUAACACGAGGGAAACAAAAACAUACCUUUUUUAAAUGGAAGCCCGGCCUGCCAUUUAAACCAGGACACUGAUUCUACAACAGGAACAUACAGUCAGACUUCUUUUCACUCUAAUCUAAGCAGGAGCACUAACAUGCACUGAUCCAGAUAAACCCACAUCCCAAUGUUCAUUAAGCAGCUAUGCCAAGGAAUGUAGUCGUUAGUCCAGGGCAGAAGGUUUUAAAUGACCACUGUCAAAAUCCAUUACAUUUAUCACAUUUGUGCAACGGUGAAAGAAGCAUUCAAAACCUUUAUUGAAAUGAAGUAAAAAAGAAAUGGAACCUGUGAGUGUUAAAUAAUUAUAUUAUAUAUAUGAUUUCUUAAUACUGUUAACAUUAAUGUGGUAUGCUACUGUUCUCAUUUAAUGUUUUGGUAUUUACAUCUAUAACAAUGCAUUAUGUGUAAAAGGGUGAUGGCAUGUUUUGGAAGUAUAAAGUAGCAGAAACUAUUAAGAUCAGGCCUCACAGAGAAGCUUUCAAGGAUCCAACUGUUUUAUAAAAAAACACAAACAAAGACAUUUGAAAACGUUGGAGCAAAAUGGUGCAAGUUUUUGACAUUUACACCAAGUUGAAGUAGAUUGUGCUCUUUUCCUUUAUUGAUUUCAGGCAUAGUAAAGAAAGGGAAUGACCUGCAUAUCUUUGCAUCUGCAAAAAUCGGUAUGUUUAUGAGCUAUACCUUGCUAUUCUUGGCAAAUUACAUUUGGGGCAGGGGGUUGUCAAUAAAAAUCAUUAAACCUUU